ACACGUCAGAAAACACCAGCUGCCCUACAUAAUACGACCAAAAGGAAACAUAUCAUGUAAGAGAUCAUCGCAUAGAAAGACAGCAAAACAAUUAGGUAAAAAACCUAAUCGAAAAGCAUGCCUUCAAAGAAUUAAAAGUCCUCACUCUGAGGGCAACGGUGCCUCCUAUCAUCAUCCGUGUUGAGUUCUGUGGCUAGGUUAGGAAACCCAAGCCGGACGUAUACUAUAGAAAUGAUCCUAUGGAGUAUCGUCGAUAGUGUUUUGUUGAGGAUAAUGACC
rnacentral:lncRNA from 1 species